AAGCCAUGGUUAGGACAUAUUUUCAACAUUGACUUGUAUCACUCCCAUGCUUCACAAAGGGGUUCACUUGAACCUUGAGAAAACACAAAAAUUAUGGUUUUGGCCU